rnacentral:rRNA from 1 species
CUUGAUGGAGGAUCUGUGGAAACUAAUUUUGUCCACGGCGCACUCCGGGGGCGUUUUUCUUUGCGUCGUUACCUCUGCGUCUCUCCUUGCCUGCGCUUAGUUCGGUAGUUUUGUAGGGGUAACCUUGCAUUCUGCUCGUUCUGCGGCGUGGUGUUCUUGGUGGGGCAUCAAGUGCCAACCUAUUGGAAAGGCGCACCAAGAGCGUACGCGUUGGGACCCCAAAGAUGGUGAACUAUGCCUGGCCAGGAUGAAGCCAGAGGAAACUCUGGUGGAGGUCCGUAGCGAUUCUGACGUGCAAAUCGAUCGUCUGAGCUGGGUAUAGGGGCGAAAGACUAAUCGAACCAUCUAGUAGCUGGUUCCCUCCGAAGUUUCCCUCAGGAUAGCUGGAGCUCUAAUAAUUGUCUCAUCCGGUAAAGCGAAUGAUUAGAGGCCUUGGGGUUGAAAUGACCUCAACCUAUUCUCAAACUUUAAAUGGGUGGGAAACCUGGCUUGCUUGACUGAAGCACAUGUCUCGGAAUUAAGUGAUGCCCAGUGGGCCACUCUUGGUAAGCAGGACUGGCGAUGUGGGAUGAACCAAACGUUGGGUUACGGCGCCAAAGUUGAUGCCAAUUCAGAAACCAGGAAAGGCGUUGGUUGCUCCAGACAGCAGGACGGUGGCCAUGGAAGUCGGCAUCCGACUAAGGAGUGUGUAACAACUCAC